rnacentral:rRNA from 1 species
AUUGAACGCUAGCGGCAGGCUUAAUACAUGCAAGUCGAGGGGUAGCAAGAUUGUAGCAAUACAAUUGUUGACGACCGGCAAACGGGUGCGGAACACGUACACAACCUUCCUACAAGUGGGGAAUAGCCCAGAGAAAUUUGGAUUAAUACCCCGUAACAUAGCGAUGUGGCAUCACAUUGCUAUUAUAGCUUCGGCGCUUGUUGAUGGGUGUGCGGCUGAUUAGAUAGUUGGCGGGGUAGCGGCCCACCAAGUCUACGAUCAGUAGCUGAUGUGAGAGCAUGAUCAGCCACACGGGCACUGAGACACGGGCCCGACUCCUACGGGAGGAAGCAGUAAGGAAUAUUGGACAAUGGACGCAAGUCUGAUCCAGCCAUGCCGCGUGAAGGAUUAAGGUCCUCUGGAUUGUAAACUUCUUUUAUAAGGGACGAAAAAAGGUCUUUCUAGAUCGUCUGACGGUACCUUAUGAGUAAGCACCGGCUAACUCCGUGCCAGCCGCCGCGGUAAUAC